UGUUCAUGAUUUUGUGCUAAUUAUGCUCUGUUCUUUGGAUCCUUGUUUGUUUGUGUAUUUUCAUAUUUUAAGUUCAGAAACCAGAAAAGAGAGGAAUCACUCCAGCACAGUAGAUGGCGCUGUGAGUCUAGAACCUUCCUCAGAUUGACACCCGCCAGAAACACAUAAAAGAAGAAGAAAGAGCAACAUGACAGAAGAAUGGAUUACGUAUCAGAGUUGUUUGCGCUCGGACAGAGGACAGGACAGAGGGUUUCAUUUGUAAAUGAAGCUCGAGAAGGACCGGAGCACAAACCAAGAGAAGAACCCAGUCCAACACGAGUCUUUACUGACAAUAGUGACGCCAGCCGAAUGUGGAAAGGGUUAAAUAUGGAGGAGUGUGUGAAGCACAUCUUUCUCUCGGUCAGAUUCUCUGUAUGUGGCAGAUGUGGGGAUGAAGUCCUCUGAGGUCAGCAGCCGGGCGUCUCUGGAGAGAAGGGAGACUCUGGAGAACAGAUCUCCCUCCUGAGUGCUUUUAAUCAAUGGAUUUUUACUGUUUUAAUGUCACCCCC